rnacentral:rRNA from 1 species
GACAGAGGGUGCAAACGUUGUUCGGAUUUACUGGGCGUAAAGCGCGUGUAGGCGGCUUUGCAAGUCGGAUGUGAAAGCCCUGGGCUCAACCCAGGAAGUGCACUCGAAACUCCCGAGCUCGAGUCCUGGAGAGGAAGGCGGAAUUCUCGGUGUAGAGGUGAAAUUCGUAGAUAUCGAGAGGAACAUCGGUGGCGAAGGCGGCCUUCUGGACAGUGACUGACGCUGAGACGCGAAAGCGUGGGGAGCAAACAGG